UACGUAGGGUGCAAGCGUUAAUCGGAAUUACUGGGCGUAAAGGGCGCGUAGGCGGCGUUUUAAGUCGGGGGUGAAAGCCUGUGGCUCAACCACAGAAUGGCCUUCGAUACUGGGACGCUUGAGUAUGGUAGAGGUUGGUGGAACUGCGAGUGUAGAGGUGAAAUUCGUAGAUAUUCGCAAGAACACCGGUGGCGAAGGCGGCCAACUGGACCAUUACUGACGCUGAGGCGCGAAAGCGUGGGGAGCAAACAGG
rnacentral:rRNA from 1 species